rnacentral:rRNA from 1 species
AUGCCUGUAACUCCGCAUUUGAACAGAUGGAAAAAACCUCUACAAAAUCAACUGGCUCUGAAUGUUGAUGCUGCGUUUUCGGAUGAUGAUAAUAUGGGUGCGUGUGAUGCAGUCAUCCGAGAUAGUGCGGGUAUGUUCGUCUGUGCGGCUACAGCAAAGCUUGAUCAUGUGCCAGAUGCUUUUACUGCCGAAGCUGCAGCCCUAGUAGAAGGUCUAAAACUUGCUAAUUCUGUUGGCUGCAACUCCAUUCUGGUACAGAUGGACUGUUUGAAUCUUGUCGAAAGUCUACAGCAAAAUACAGGCCACUCCACAAUAGCAGCUCCAAUUCUGGAGGAUUGCCGGUUACUGUUACUCAAUUUCGGGAAGGUCAUUUUAAAGCAUUGUAAUCGUGAAUCUAAUAUGGUAGCUCACGUGCUAGCGCAAAAUGGACGUGUAGAUCCACUGAACUUGUGGUUGGACUCACCUCCGGCAUUUAUUUUAGAACUUUUAGCGGACGAUGUAAGCGUUGGUUAA